CUAUUUCACUGUAACGCUGAUGUUAAAUCGAUACCUGAUUUCAUUUAGCACUCAGCAAGUUUUGUUAUAACACUCACAGUCGCUAUCUUAGGUCUUUAAAAACAAUUGUGGUCGCCAUCUUGGGUCCUCGAAUACUUUCGGUUUCAUUUAACACUCAUUUUGCUUAACGCUUAGUUUUUCAGAAAGCUAUUAAGAGCACUAAGUGGGGGUUGCCUGUCUAUGAUAAAAAGG